UUCAGACGAUGCGUCAUGCAUAUCAAUAAGCGGAGGAAAAGAAACUAACAAGGAUUCCCCUAGUAACGGCGAGUGAAGCGGGAAGAGCUCAAAUUUGAAAUCUUAAAGGGUUUCCCUUUACGAAUUGUAGUUUAAAGAAGUGUUUUCUGUUGAGGUUUUGGUAAAAGUUCUUUGGAAUAGGACAUCAUAGAGGCUGAGAAUCCCGUAUUUGACCUUUACUUUCAACUUUGUGAUACACUUUCAAAGAGUCGGAUUGUUUGGGAAUGCAGUCCAAAAUGGGUGGUAAAUUUCAUCUAAAGCUAAAUAUUGGCGAGAGACCGAUAGCGAACAAGUACCGUGAGGGAAAGAUGAAAAGAACUUUGAAAAGAGAGUUAAACAGUACGUGAAAUUGUCAAAAGGGAAGCGUUUGACACCAGUGUUGUUUUUCUGAAAAUCAAUUAAAGAACUGUUUAUGCUAAGCUGUUUAGACUUUAUCAGCUAUCUGUUUAGUUUUGAGCUUUUCUUUAAUGCACUUUCCAGUUAACAAGUCAACAUCAAUUUCUUUUGCUGUAAAAAAGCUUGAGGAAGGUGGCUUGAGAUUCGUCUUAAGUGUUUAUAGCCUCUUGCCUAUGCAGUCGGGGAGAUUGAGGUCUGCAGCGUAGAUCCUUCGGGGCUAAAUGCAUUUGUGCUAAGUUAUAGCAUUUUAUAGACAACUUGUUGACUAUGAUUUGUCUUGUAGCUUACUCGCUUAUGUUAUUUUACCUACGCUUAGGAUGUUGAAUCUGUGCGAGACUAC
rnacentral:rRNA from 1 species